GAUGAACGCUGGCGGCGUGCCUAAUACAUGCAAGUCGAGCGAACAGAUAAGGAGCUUGCUCCUUUGACGUUAGCGGCGGACGGGUGAGUAACACGUGGAUAACCUACCUAUAAGACUGGGAUAACUUCGGGAAACCGGAGCUAAUACCGGAUAACAUAUUGAACCGCAUGGUUCAAUAGUGAAAGGCGGCUUUGCUGUCACUUAUAGAUGGAUCCGCGCCGUAUUAGCUAGUUGGUAAGGUAACGGCUUACCAAGGCAACGAUACGUAGCCGACCUGAGAGGGUGAUCGGCCACACUGGAACUGAGACACGGUCCAGACUCCUACGGGAGGCAGCAGUAGGGAAUCUUCCGCAAUGGGCGAAAGCCUGACGGAGCAACGCCGCGUGAGUGAUGAAGGUCUUCGGAUCGUAAAACUCUGUUAUCAGGGAAGAACAAAUGUGUAAGUAACUGUGCACAUCUUGACGGUACCUGAUCAGAAAGUCACGGCUAACUACGUG
rnacentral:rRNA from 1 species